UACAGAGGUCUCAAGCGUUGUUCGGAUUCAUUGGGCGUAAAGGGUGCGUAGGUGGCGCCGUAAGUCGGGUGUGAAAUUUCGGAGCUUAACUCCGAAACUGCAUUCGAUACUGCGGUGCUUGAGGACUGGAGAGGAGACUGGAAUUCAUGGUGUAGCGGUGAAAUGCGUAGAUAUCGUAAGGAAGACCAGUGGCGAAGGCGGGUCUCUGGACAGUUCCUGACGCUGAGGCACGAAGGCCAGGGGAGCAAACGGG
rnacentral:rRNA from 1 species